ACCCCUUUUUCUUUUUUCUCUUUCUUAUAUCUAUAUCUCAACUGGAUCGUGACGAAAGGUUGAGGAGUCUCAUACUCUAGUACACCUAUUCCGGAAAGAGAUAGACCGAAAGUAGAGCUCCUGUUAAUCGAGUCAAAGCCAUUGGGACCUAGCUCGGAUGAAUCAUUCGAAUCUAAUCUGGUUCUGGUGAUUGCGUCUAGUAAGGAAUGGGCCGAGUUGUUGGACGAAGAUAAGAAAACAACCCCUUACCAUAGUAGGGCUAUGUUCACUGGAACUAUACGGUUNN
rnacentral:lncRNA from 1 species